GCCAGGCCGAACGCAUGCGGUCCCGCUGCACCCGCCCAGGAGCGAGGGGUCAUCUCCCCCGGCCUCACUUGUCUCCCCCUCGCUGCUUCGCUAGGGUUCGGGUCGUCCUCGCUGCGCUCGCCGCGCCGUCCUCCGCCGGUCGCUCUCCUCCGCCCGUCGCGCCCUCCUCCCCUCGUCGCCCUCCUCUGCCGCUCGCCAUCCUCCGCCCCGCCUUCCUCCGGCCAUCGUCGUCCUCCGUCGCCCUGACCUCCUCCGCUGCUCGCAAUCCUCCGCCCUGCCCUCCUCUGGCCGUCGCCCUCCUCCGCCCGUCGACCUCCGUCUGUCCCGCUGGUCGCCCUCCGUCUGUUGAAAUCCUUUUCAGCCAAGUAUUGGUUUCAUUAACAUUGGUUAGCAUAAUGUAGAAAAGUUUUACAGGAGCCAAUAGCCAUGCCAGUUAGUGACAAGCAACUAGCAUCCUCAGUGAAGUAACAUCACAUGAGCUGCCAAACAAAGUUGCAGAUAUCGUAAAUAUGUCUCAGGGCACUUCACCGCUGCCAAAAGAUAAGGGUCCUGCCACAGAUCCUGGAAAGACCAUGGGCACCAAACGAUCUGAUGCUCCUUCAAGUCCUGGAUAUCAUAAUGUUUAUGUACGAAGAAAAGUGGAAAGUGACCAUAGUAAAGUAAGCUCUUCUCAAGAGUUAAAGGGUAAUGGAAGAGACAAAACAAAAGAGCAGGAAGCACAACAAAGUAUGCAACAUGAUCAGACCAAUAAGCCAGAAUUGCCAUCUUCUGUUCCAGUGCAACAUGAUCAGACCAGUAAGCCAGAAUUGUCAUCUUCUGUUACGAAGCAACAUGAUCAGACCAGUAAGCCAGAAUUGCCAUCUUCUGUUGCGAAGCAACAUGAUCAGACCAAUAAGCCAGAGUUGCCAUCUUCUGUUACAGUGCAACAUGAUCAGACCAAUAAGCCAGAGUUGCCAUCUUCUGUUGCGAAGCAACAUGAUCAGACCAAUAAGCCAGAGUUGCCAUCUUCUGUUGCAAAGCAACAUGAUCAGACCAAUAAGCAAGAGUUGCCAUCUUCUGUUGUGGAGCAACAUGAUCAGAACAAUAAGCCAGAGUUGCCAUCUUCAGUUGCGGAGCAACAUGAUCAGACCAAUAAGCCAGAGUUGGCAUCGUCUGUUCCUGAAUAUGGAGGCAUAGUGUCUCCUAAAUCUCCUGAAAAUCCAAACGAACAAACUGCGCCCAAGAAAAAUGACCCUCCUGUAGCUCCUGGCACUUCCGUUCAAGAUGAUGCCCAUAAGUCAAGCAAUCAAUACUGGAACGCGAGAUUUAAUCGGUUACAGACAUAUUUGGAGAACUGUGAUAGGUCAACUCAGGAGGGUUAUAUGCGAAUGCUUAGGUCCCUCUCAGCAGCUGAUCGAAGCAUGCAUGCAAUUGAUCUGGAGAAAAGGGCAAUUCACUUAUUAGUGGAGGAAGGAAAAGAGCUGCAACGGAUGAAGGCUUUGAAUGUCCUGGGAAAAGUUUCUCCAAACGGUUCUUCAAAACAGGCCCCUUUGUAGCGACGACAGUCCCAAGAAUGAGAUGGAUGGCAUAGUUCGAAGAGCUGAAAUGCUCAGGCCCAUUGCAGCAAAGACAUUAGAUAUAGUCUGCUCACCUAGUUCCAUUUUGCUUCCUUUGCCAUGUAACUCAUUUUCCUUCAUUUCUUUCUGUUUUGACCUCAAUGACUUGCCAACUCAUGUGCUGUGAGAUUUGCUAUAAUGUGAUGUAAUUAGCUUGUCUGGAUAAGCCUGCCAUUCUUAAUGGCCAAGCGUAAUAAUUUCAA